GCGAGGAGGAGGGAGGAGAACCAGCAGCGGGGACCCAAGGCCAGCGGCCGCCGGAGGCGGUGGACAGCGGUGGCCCCCGCGGGACCUAGUCUCCGGCGGGAGUGGGGCGGCGCAUGGGAGGGGAGCGGGUGCCCUGAGGAGUUAAUUUCCGAGAGGGGCGUUCCCAGCACUGCCCCUCUGGACCCGGUCCCCGCGGACUUGCAGGCCCAGCCUAUGUCCAGGUCGAGCCAAAUCUGUGCCAGGGUCCCCUUCCCCCUUUCCCUUCUUUUGUUUUACAAAGCAAACUUGUACCAGCUUUAGACAGACUGGCCGAGCCUUAGAGCCAGCGUCGGAUAAUGGCACCGACGGGGAAACUGCUCCUUUAUUCGGGUCCCCACCUCCCCUGCAGCACUACGGGACCCUCUCGGGGAUCAGAGGCUGGCCUGGCAGCUGAGGAGGUCGCCGUGCCCGCGCGGCAGGGGUGCCAGGCGUCCGAGGUGGUGCUCUAAAGUCCGAGGGUCCUUCAGAUCUUGUCAAGCACCCUCGAAAUCAUCUGAAAUGAGGGCACCCAACUCCGGGUGCAGAGACAGGCCUCCUUAAUGUUUAUUGCAACCAGCCAUGGGUACUUUGAAGCCAAUGUGUGAAGCACAUUACUUCGCAAAAGUGAAGCUCUUGGAAUAAAGGCUUGACACAAACAGCCGUGGAGGUGCUUUUAGAGAGGCUAAGUGUCCCACUGCCCCUGUAGCUCCCGCAGGAGAAAUGCCAGGGAAACUCGCGGAAGCUUUGGCCAAAAGAAACUGAGCUUUUUUGGGCUGCAGGAACUUGAGCUAUAUUCCUUUGGCAAGUCCACCCCAUCCCCACUGUUCCUUCUCCUGCAGUAAAAAUGUCCUCUAGGUCCAUGUUACAGCCAGACCCCUCCUCUCUUCACGAGAUUCACUAGGACCUUCAGGCCUGGUUCAACAACCCUGAUCUCUCGGCUCUGUCAAAAAUCACAAUCCUGAAGUAAGUGAAGCUACAGACCUGCCCUUUGCUGUCUCUGAAGGGGAGCAACCUUACAUCUUUCCUCCUCAUCCAGCAAAAUGUUUGUGCCUGGGUCUCGCACCCUGCAGCCUGAACGGUGGGGUUUUUCACCAGGGCAAGCGCAGACAGACACAGGUCUGCUCACUGCCCGCACAACCUGGAACUUCCCUGUGAAUUAGGAGAAGUAAUCUGUUCCUUUGUUUUAACAAAUCAGUACAGCCACUGUGCGUUGAAGUCAUGCCCUGAAUGCAGAGGCCAUGAAGGCUCUGCAGGCAUGUGUGUGCUUCCUGCACACCUGGGCUGAGAGCAGUCCGUAGAAACACAGAAAACAAAACUAGAGAAAGGCAAAUGGGAAGCACAACAGUGGAACAUAAAAUGAAGACAGGAGUGAGUCUUACAAUAAAAGACCUGAAUACAAUAAAGUCCUGUGCAUUCACUUAACAAGGGCUGCAAAUUUGGUUUUAAACUAUAUUUUCUGUCAAGGGAAUGUGACCUGUGUGUACAAGUCACAACACAAAUCAAUUUAAGCUACAACUGAUUUGUAAGACUGUACAGGAAUUUCUUUGAGUGCCCAAAAAGACAGCAUGUAAGAACAUCAGUUCUCACUACGUUAGGACUAUAUGAGACAACAGCCUUCAUAGUACGGCUUGUAUAUUCUUCAAUGUGAUCUGAUAGCAUCACAAGAAACAGAGCUUUUUGUAAAGAAUUACUAGACACACACAUAGCACAAUACUGGGAUGGAUUCCAGGGAACAGAGAAGAAUGGGUUUGCUGAACAUCUUCAUGGGACAUCUAUGUAAAGUUUGAGUUUCUCCUUUGAGCUUUUGAUACAAAAGCUGACAUUCACGUUGAUUUUGUAGUCCUUGGCUAGUACCUGGAGUGUGCUGAUAACUGUGUUACUUGGUAAGUAAAAAACUGUAUGGCCGAGCAGGCACUAAUGAAGUCCUCUUAAGAGAGAUAAGUAGCCUGGCAUAGUUAGGGCCCUGCACAGUUAGGGCUCUAGCUCACAGCCUCUGUGGAGGGUGGUCCUAGACCAUGGCCCGGACAGAGGCUGGGUGUGUGUGCCACCACCACAGGAAUGACAAUAGUGGCCCAGUUGCUGUGUUAAGCAUUGGUCAGACUAAGCUUAUCUGAUAACCUGUGAGCUGGUUAAUACUUGUAUCUGCCUUUUAUAGCAAUGUGAUGCUGUGGCCGGGAGAAGUGACCAGGAUACCAAGGUAUACUUGCUAGUAUGAGAGGCCAACUUUGAAUCCAAGGCAGAGCCGUGUUUUACCCCUCUUGUCCAGCAACGCUUCAAAACCUGAGACAAAUGGUGAUGUCAGGACCUAAAAUUCUAUUUCAUAAUGUCUUGGAAAUUUGUUAGGCACCUUCCAUGUGACAAGCACAGAGCUCGGAUGGGCAGCCAACCAUGAACAAGAAGGACACGGCCACGUGCCACAUGCACGGGAGGUAGGCAAGUGUGGAACACAGGAGAGUCAUGAAGAACAUGACUGUGAACUGUGAUAGGCACUGGGAAGGAAACAGCAGGGGCUGAGAAACAGAAUGAGGGCCUCAGGAUGCUUCAAGCGAAGCCAUGGAGGAAGGUUUUUCUGAAAAUUUGAUGUAUAAGCUGCUAUCUAAAGGGCAUGAUGGAACCAAGGGCAGUCGUCCUUCUUGGCAUUCAUUGAUAGAUGGAGCUAUCUGUGGAGACCCCCGAGAAGCUACGGAGGUGCAGGUGUAUUCGCCUCUACAUUGAUUCUACAUCUGGGUGGCUAUGCAUUCACUAACUUAUAAUGUUUUUCUUUCCUUUUCAUCAUCUGCCAGGUGAGCAAGUCAAUCAUCACCUUUUAAACACUUGAGAUUUCUAAUCUAUUUGUGGCUGAGAAAUCUAACAAUUGUGCUGGUUAGAAUUACAUAAGGAUGACAUUGGCUUUGGAUGAGGUCUCUCCUGUGAGUGUCGUAAACCAAACUUCAGAGCCUGAGCUGUGUACUAGUGCACUCAUUAAACUUCUCAGAGACCAGUUUUGUUCCUGAGAUCUUGGUUAAGUUCUGGACAAGUGAGGUUCUAGGACAGACACCCCAGCUUAGGAGCAUUGUGUUUGAUGUAAAAGGAAAUGGGGUGGAAAAAUAUGCAAGUGUCUCAUCUCUCCUGUCAAGUGCAUGGCUACUUGAUUACAUCCUCUACCCCAAGAAUGCCACCCUGCUUCAGAUCACUCCACUCCAGGGCCUACUGGAGAGACAGAAGAAUGUGGGAGAAAUGCGAGCUUGAGAUGAUUUUGCUCUUGUUAUUAAAAUGCUCUUCUCAUUGUGUGGUAAAAUUA